CGUGGAUCAGGCAGAAUUAACCGUUGUGGUCCCGGAGGCUGAGAUGGGGACAACUGCAGCUGUUCCUGUGGUUGUGGUGGAAGUGCCUAAGGCUACUGGUGCUCUGGCCGCUGUAUCCAGCCCCCUGAAGCCUCCUAUUGUCGCUAUGCCAAUUCAUUCCUUUCCAGGAUCAUCUGC